UAAUGUAUGGGGAUCUGCCCGAUAGAGGGGGAUAACUACUAGAAACGGUGGCUAAUACCGCAUAAUGUCUACGGACCAAAGCAGGGGCUCUUCGGACCUUGCACUAUCGGAUGAACCCAUAUGGGAUUAGCUAGUAGGUGGGGUAAAGGCUCACCUAGGCGACGAUCUCUAGCUGGUCUGAGAGGAUGAUCAGCCACACUGGGACUGAGACACGGCCCAG
rnacentral:rRNA from 1 species